CCCUUAGAUGUUCUGGGCUGCACGCGUGCUACAAUGAAGCGUCCAACAAGAUGCGAAGCCGAAAGGCUCAGCGGAUCUUUGAAGUCGUUUCGUGACCGGGACAGUUGAUUGCAAUUAUUCGACUCGAACGAGGAAUUCCUUGUAAUCGCGAUUCAUCAUAUGGCGCUGAAUACGUCCCUGCCCUUUGUACACACCGCCCGUCGCUCCUACCGAUUGAGCGAUCCGGUGAAUUAUUUGGAGUGUCCACGCAAGCCAAUCCGUUUACGUGGGUGCGAAAUUUUGUAAACCUUAUCGCUUAGAGGAAGGAAAAGUCGUAACA
rnacentral:rRNA from 1 species